UACGUAGGGUGCGAGCGUUGUCCGGAAUUAUUGGGCGUAAAGGGCUCGUAGGUGGUUUGUCGCGUCGGGAGUGAAAACCUUGGGCUUAACUCAGGGCUUGCUUUCGAUACGGGCAGACUAGAGGUAUGCAGGGGAGAACGGAAUUCCUGGUGUAGCGGUGAAAUGCGCAGAUAUCAGGAGGAACACCGGUGGCGAAGGCGGUUCUCUGGGCAUGAUCUGACGCUGAGGAGCGAAAGUGUGGGGAGCGAACAGG
rnacentral:rRNA from 1 species